CAGUCGCCGCGGUAAUACGGAGGGUGCGAGCGUUAAUCGGAUUUACUGGGCGUAAAGCGUGCGUAGGCGGCUUCUUAAGUCGGAUGUGAAAUCCCUGAGCUUAACUUAGGAAUUGCAUUCGAUACUGGGAAGCUAGAGUAUGGGAGAGGAUGGUAGAAUUCCAGGUGUAGCGGUGAAAUGCGUAGAGAUCUGGAGGAAUACCGAUGGCGAAGGCAGCCAUCUGGCCUAAUACUGACGCUGAGGUACGAAAGCAUGGGGAGCAAACAGGAUUAGAUACCCCCGUAGUCCCUGUCUCUUAUAC
rnacentral:rRNA from 1 species